AGUCGGUAGCAUCUGGCCCAGAUCUUUAAAACGGCGCCGCUUCCACUCGCUUCCUUCCAAUAAAACGACAAUCCGGGUCAUAUUAAUCUCUUUUCUCUUCUUUUUUCCCCAAAAUCAUUCUCAGAAAUAAAAUAUAAAAAUCCGGACAAAUGGUUAUGAAAUCACCAAAUUCGGUUUCCAUCCGCCUUCGCCGCUACUGUACAAGCGUAUCGCCGACGGACUCCUAUGGGCUGCGCGGCGUCCUUGUUGCUUCCUCGCAGAGUCGGCUGGCCACAAAGAGGAGGUAUCCUCUGCUGAGAAGAGUAGUGCGGUGCUGAGCGUGAGGGACCCACCGAAGUACCUUAGGUGGGAUGAUCCUGAUUACAGGAGAUGGAAGGAUAAGGAGGAAGAGAUUCUUCGACGCAUCGAGCCUAUCAUGUCGCUCACUAAAGAGAUUCUUCACUCCGAAAUGUUGAUCGACAUCCUCAAUUAAGACACUCAAGGUGUCUCUUUGUUGUUAGAACUAAUGGUGGAUGAUGGAUUUUUCAUACCAAAAGUUGUCUUCGAGCAUACGUUCGAGAUAAGCACCCAUCCUAUGUAGAAAGAUUUAUGGGAGAACAUUUUAAAUGUGGUAGCGUGUAAAAUGUGAAAACUUAAUGUUACUAUCUAUGUUCAACUAUGAUUUUAGUUUUACUGGAGAUGUUUAAAUAUUUCGUUUUGGUAGGGAGAUUGUCAAUUUGUGUCAGUGACCUAUAUAGCCUUGUUCUAUAAUUGUCAAUGUAGCAGAUGAUUCUUGACUGGCACUUCAUGUUUGUUAUAAAUGAGGACGAAGAAAAUGAUUGAAUUGAACCUCACUUUGUUGACUUGCAUUAAUCUUCUUGGCGGUUGGCUUUUUGUAUGUUUGUUUAUGUUGUGGAAAGCUUUUCUUGAGAUCCUUAGGUCCGGGCUUUUAUAUAAAGUUACUAGGAUUUUCAAAGCACUUUAUUGAAAGUAGGGAACUUGUCUCAAGGGUUUGUUAGACAACAGAAUGGUUUAAUUUCUCUCCGAGAACUUUCUGGUAUCUUAGUUUUAAACACCUAGAGUACAUGGAGUGUGAACAUGCAUGAGAAUUACACACUUGUACCCACUGUUAUAGCUGAUAUUCAAAAUGCCAUAAUCGCAGUCAACAUACGUUAUUAAUCAUAGCCUAUCAAGGAAUUGCUUCAAUUGUCCUGCCAGGUUUUACGCUGGUGAGAAUGCAUCAACUAGUACCCACUUCUCCGUAUUUGGAGGUUGAAGAAUGGUAAAUUUGUUAUGAUCUAGUGAUUGUUUUCUUUGAUGGGUUACAUCAGAUGGUAACAAAGGGUAUUCAUUUAAUAGUAGUAAUUUAAAAUUUUGAACUUCUUCUUACUGGUGAUGAUGCCAGAACCACCAAUCUUUAGUGGUUGAAGGCCUGAAACUGGACUUAUGCCAGUCAAAUCAGUCAAGCUCAAAGGGUCUGCUUGUCCAGUUGUUAAUAUUAUUAGUCAAUACGGUAGAUAACUCCGUUGGCGGACUCUGAAUAUUUGUUUGCAUGAAUGUGGGUUGUUUUAGAAGACAAAUAGACUUGACUUUGGAGUGGCCAAAUCACGCAUUGUUGAAACAAGAAUAUGAAAUCCCUCUAGUCAAGAAUAGCAUGUGCCAUAGCUUUUGAAGGAUCUUAGAAAUAAACCGUCGAUGUAAACAGAGUUUGCAAUGAUUGAGAGCUGUAGGUAAUUGCCAUUUGCCCCGAUAAUAAGCAAAGUAAAAAGGGCUGUAUGCUAUUGCUAUGUCUUUGGCGUGCGAUAUGCCUUGGUUUUGUGUUUUUUGCAGAUUGUUACUUGAGAACAUUGUUUACUGCUGGAUUUGUAAUGUGGAUUGAUCAAUGCAAGUAGCAUGAUCAAAUCAAACACUACUAUGAAUACUUCUUUGUAGGACUUCAUAUGCUUGAUUGUAACUUGGUUGACUGGGAACAAGGUUUGUUGUUGUCAUUAGCAAUUCUAAAAAAUGGAGAGUGAUGAUCCAAUUGAGGAGCUGCCGAUCUUGGGCAAUGGAGGACAAUGCUUGCAACAAAAAAACCGUUUCCACCUCUUUGGACUUCGGAGUUGGAAAUUAGCAUCAAUCAAUAAUCAAAUGCUUGUGCUAGCUAUCCCGUGAAUCAUGAUCGUCGGACGAAAGCAUGAUAAUCACGGGACAAGGCAUGAUGAUUAGACUCAGACCAUCUUCUGGCCAAUGGGUUGACCCGAGAGAACAGGGAGGUCCACUACACAGCUGGAUGAAGAAAAUCCAUGUGGACCCUUUCUUCUUGCUGCCCCAUUAUGGGGGUUUCACGGUACAGAUGGAGCACAAUAAUUUGCUGCACACUCAAGGAAGAUGAUGGAAAACAUUCUUUCUGUUAAGAGCCAUCAAUCUUGUGAUCCUCUGGUCCCAUCAGCUGGCCUUACACAUUACAGUUGAGUCUAGUGAUGCAUGGGGUCAAGGGUGCAAGCUAAUGGGUUCAUGAGUCCCAAUAAAGGGUAGGCUUUGCUUACUAUUGUGUAUGAUUUGGAACAUAGGAAAAAGCGAGCCAUACUUUUUGAUUUCUGAUAUUGGUAUGGGCUUGUCUGACUUUGA